rnacentral:rRNA from 1 species
CCUACGGGGGGCAGCAGGCGCGAAAACUUUACAAUGCCGGCAACGGCGAUAAGGGGACCUCGAGUGCCAGGUUACAAAUCUGGCUGUCGUGAUGCCUAAAAAGCAUUGCAUAGCAAGGGCCGGGCAAGACCGGUGCCAGCCGCCGCGGUAACACCGGCGGCUCGAGUGGUAACCGUUAUUAUUGGGUCUAAAGGGUCUGUAGCCGGCCGGAUAAGUCUCUUGGGAAAUCCAGCAGCUCAACUGUUGGGCUUUCAGGAGAUACUGUCUGGCUCGAGGCCGGGAGAGGUGAGAGGUACUUCAGGGGUAGGGGUGAAAUCUUGUAAUCCUUGAAGGACCACCAGUGGCGAAGGCGUCUCACCAGAACGGACCUGACGGCAAGGGACGAAAGCUAGGGGCACGAACCGGAUUAGAUACCCACGUAGUCC